UACGUAGGGGGCUAGCGUUGUCCGGAUUUAUUGGGCGUAAAGAGCGUGUAGGCGGCCAGGUAGGUCUGCUGUGAAAACUCGAGGCUCAACCUCGAGACGUCGGCGGAAACCAUCUGGCUAGAGUCCGGAAGAGGAGAGUGGAAUUCCUGGUGUAGCGGUGAGAUGCGCAGAUAUCAGGAAGAACACCCGUGGCGAAGGCGGCUCUCUGGGACGGUACUGUCGCUGAGACGCGAAAGCGUGGGGAGCGAACAGG
rnacentral:rRNA from 1 species